rnacentral:misc_RNA from 1 species
GAUGAAGAACGCAGUGAAAUGCGAUAAUUAAUGUGAAUUGCAGAAUUCAGUGAAUCAUCGAAUCUUUGAACGCACAUUGCGCCCGCCAGUAUUCUGGCGGGCAUGCCUGUUCGAGCGUCAUUUCAACCAUCAAGCCCCAGGCUUGUGUUGGGGACCUGCGGCUGCCGCAGGCCCUGAAAACCAGUGGCGGGCUCGCUAGUCACACCGAGCGUAGUAGCAUACACAUCGCUCAGGGCGUGCUGCGGGUUCCGGCCGUUAAACCCCUUUUUUACCCAAGGUUGACCUCGGAUCAGGUAGGAAGACCCGCUGAACUUAAGCAUAUCAAUAAGCGGAGGA